GUGGCAAUACAAGUAUAGUCUGUUUUUAUUGUAAUUUUUUUUAUGUAUCUUUUAAAUAUUUUAAAUUAUUAAUUCUUGUAACUUAUAAUAUUUUAAUUUUGUAAGCAGUUUGCAAUUAUAUAAUUUUUAUUUCAAAAAAAAAAAAUUACGUGUGAACUUACGAAAUUCAAAUUGUGUCAUAUAAAUAAGUACGGAAGGAGUAUACCAACUUGUGAAAUUCUUCUUUUUCCAGAUUUUUGGACUUCUAGUAAUUUCAUCUUUCAUCCCACUAUUAGGAUAUAAACAUAUAUAUAUAUAUAUAUAUAUAUAUUUGUAUAUUUAAAAUUCAAACGUAUGAUAUAUGAUGGAGUUUGGAUAGUUGUGAUUCUUUUCCAAUCUGAAAUCAAGGAAGUCUACUCAAUUUACAAACUCUUCCCAAGCUAACAAAGAUCCUGAAUGGAGAAAGGUCAUGCUAGAGGAAUACAACGCUCUUAUCCAAAAUGGUACAUGGUCUCUUGUCCCAUCUUCACUUGCCAAAAAUAUUGUGGUAUGUAUAUGGAUUCUCAAGUUGAAACUCAAUCCUAAUGGUUCCAUUGAGAAUCCAUAUACAUAUGGCAAGUGAAUCCCAAGUGGUUACACAAAGCUCUUUAUGGACUCAAACAAAGAGAGAAAUAAAAGUUGAAGUGGGAUCAAGGUUUUCGAUUACGAUGAUUGGAUUUUUCUUAAAUACAUUAACAGGUUCUAUUUCAAUUUUAUGCUAUUUAUUGUAAACUUUUUUGUGAAAAGUAUAAUAUCGAAUGUUAAAGUGAUCUUGAACAUCGUUUAGCAUUCAGAUUUCAGAAUAUGUGUAUAUUUGUAUGCAGAUAAUGUUUAAAUAUUAUGUAUGUUUAUUAUUUA